rnacentral:tRNA from 1 species
UGGCCAAGUGGCGAAACUGGUAGACGCGCGACUCUCAGAAAGUCGUUCCCUCAGGGAUUGCGAGUUCGAAUCUCGCCUUGGCUAU